AAGGCUGCAGUGAGCUAUGAUCACACCACUGCACUCUAGCCUGAGCGACGGAGCAAGAUCCCAUUUCUGCAAAAAUGGAUGGGUGAAUUAAUUAAUUACAUUUCAAAAUAGAGAUUUAAUGGCAAAAUGAGAAUUGUUAUGUACAUGAUUUCUGAAGUGGCUUACAUAAUAUAAUUUUGGAAAUGAAAGCCCUGAAAAAUAGCUUCUUAUUUUAAGGAUGAACAGACUGGGAUUUAUUUCUGAAAUUCUGUAAUUCUCAGUCAGUUGUAAGGCUUUCAUUAUGUAAUAGACUUUUUUUUAACCAACGGUAUAUAAUAGACUUUUUUUAACCAACAGAAGUUGGACCUCUUCAAAAUGUAAGGUCCAAAAAGAUUUCGGGCAUUGUUUGAAUAACCCCCUUCUCCAGAGGAGACUGUUUUUGAAAAAUGAUUGUUUCUGAUGUGUUAAAAUUGAUUAUUUUUGUCACCCCGAAUGCACCAAAGCAUUAUAUGCCAUAUUUAUUGCCAAGAGUAGCUGUAUAGCUUGUGGGAGACGGUUAGCUUGAAGCCUUCUUGCAUCUGGAAGUAUGGGGAGAGAGAAGGCUCUUCACAUUCCCUUUCAUGUUAUAUUCUAAAGGGAAGGGAUUUCCAUCCUACAGACACUAGGUGACUCUCUUGUGGAUAAUUUCAAUUACCAAUGAUACAUGGGUGUUGCUCUGUGCCAGGCACUGUGCUAGGAGCUGAUGCCAAGGCUCAGCUGAUGGGCUACUGACAUGAGGGCCUGUGCUCCUCAGUGGCGCUCUGUAGGUAAAUACAGAGCCACCGUCUACUGGGGGCUUCUCCUGAGUGUGACAGUGUGGGCUGGGACACGAUGCUACCCUCGAAGAGCUUGAAGUUAGAUUCUGUGCACAGAUAUAUUUAGAAUAAAUGCAGAGAUGCAAUAACAAGAUGUCUUAGAAAAAAGAAAAACAAGAAAUGCAGAGGGAAAGGGAAAUGUAUAAAAGGUAGACAGACACAACACAAGUUUACAGGAAAGAAAGGUUAUCUGUGGCUGGCAUGAUCAGGAAAUGCUUUAUGGAUAAAGAAAGGUCAUGUUGGUCUUGAGGACUUGGAGAGAGAGUGUCUUCGUUCAAGGAAACAUGAGCAAAGGCAUAGGUAGUGAUGGGAAAUGCCAGGGUACGGAGUAGCAAAGGGAGAUGUCAGGCUAGAGAGGUGAGCAGGAACCGGAACAAGAAAUGCCUUGGAAGCUAUGUGAGGCUUGGAAUUCACCUGUGAAGAAAAUAGUAGCCUCUUCUGAAUUCCUUGCCUCGAUCAUGGUCUCCAACAGAAGGUUAAAUGGCUGUGGAGUCUAGAGGUUUUUUCCUUCAGUGUGGGUGUCACCUGUUCUGAAAGGAUGGUGUAAUGGCUAAUUGUGUCAGUAUGGCGAGGCCACAGUACCCAGAUACUUGGUCAAGCAUCAGAAUAGAUGUCACUGUGCAGGUAUUUUUUUAGAUGGGGUUAACAUUUAUAUCAGUAGACUUUGAGUGAAGCAGAUUAUCCUUUGUAGGCCUCAUAUAUAAAGUCCCUGAAGAAAAAGGAAUUCUGUCUCUGGCUCCCUUCAGACUCAAGACUGCAACACUGGCCUGGUGCCCUGGCUCACACCUGUAAUCCUAGCACUUGGGGAGGCUGAGAUGAGUGGAUCACUUGAGAUCAGGGGUUCAAGACCAGCCUGGCCAACACGGUGAAAACCCAU